GCGAGGUGUGGCUGGAAGAAGCAGCCGGGGCCUGUGUGCUAUAUACCCCUCGCAAGCUCUCCUCACUCCUCUCCUGUGCCUGCCUCUUCCAUU
rnacentral:pre_miRNA from 1 species